UCCUCUUUAGCUCAGUUGGUAGAGCGCUCGGCUGUUAACCGAUAGGUCGUUGGUUCGAGUCCAACAAGAGGAG
rfam:Clostridium sp. CAG:440 genomic scaffold, scf100